rnacentral:rRNA from 1 species
AUUGAACGCUGGCGGCAGGCCUAACACAUGCAAGUCGAACGAUUGGCGGACGGUUGAGUAAUGUCUGGGAAACUGCCCGAUGGAGGGGGAUAACUACUGGAAACGGUAGCUAAUACCGCAUACCAUCGGAUUUGCCCAGAUGGGAUUAGCUCGUAGGUGGGGUAACGGCUCACCUGGGCGACGAUCCCUAGCUUGUCUGAGAGGAUGACCAGCAACACUGGAACAGAGACAAGGUCCCGACUCCUACGGGAGGCGAACGUGGGGAUGAUUGCACAAGGGGCGCAGGCCGGAUGCAGCCAAGCCGGGUGUAUGAAGAGGGCCUUCGGGAUGUAAAGUACUUGCAGCGAGGCGGCGUUACUCGCAGAAGAAGGAACGGCUGACUCCGUGCAAGCAGCCGCGGUAAUUC